CCUACGGGUGGCAGCAGUCGAGAAUCAUUCACAAUGGGGGAAACCCUGAUGGUGCGACGCCGCGUGGGGGAAUGAAGGUCUUCGGAUUGUAAACCCCUGUCAUGUGGGAGCAAAUUAAAAAGAUAGUACCACAAGAGGAAGAGACGGCUAACUCUGUGCCAGCAGCCGCGGUACUACAGAGGUCUCAAGCGUUGUUCGGAAUCACUGGGCGUAAAGCGUGCGUAGGCUGUUGCGUAAGUCGUGUGUGAAAGGCGCGGGCUCAACCCGCGGACGGCACAUGAUACUGCGAGACUAGAGUAAUGGAGGGGAAACCGGAAUUCUCGGUGUAGCAGUGAAAUGCGUAGAUAUCGAGAGGAACACUCGGGGCGAAGGCGGGUUCCUGGACAUUAACUGACGCUGGGGCACGAAGGCCAGGGGAGCGAAAGGGAUUAGAUACCCUUGUAGUC
rnacentral:rRNA from 1 species